CCAUUAAAAGACAAACCAGAAAAACUGGUAUUGAUACAUUCAACGUCACUGUAUUUUGAAUAUAAAAUGGAUGUAUCCUUCAAAUUCCUAUUUAGAUUCAGUCCACUUACAGAAGAAGAAUUAUCAUCAUGGAUGUUGUAAACAGACAGCCACAGUCUACGAAUGUACACAGAACAACAGAUUGGACCACAGGUGUCUGUGAGUGCUUUGAUGACAUGCCUGUCUGUCUUCUGGGUACCUUUGUGCCAUGUGUGCUUGCAUGCAUUAUAUCUAAACAAUAUGGAGAGUGUCUCUGCUUGCCUUGCCUACCAGGAACCUUGAUGUCCUUGAGAACAGGAAUAAGGGAGAGACAUCACGUGCAGGGGUCGAUUGUAGAGGACUGGUUUAUGUUGUGCUGCAUUCCUCAUUGUGCACUUUGUCAGAUGAGUCGGGAGCUGAAAAUAAGACAAUGAAGAAAUGAACCACGUUUCCUUCCAUUAGACUUUGAAAUCAGACACAAUUAUUGUGUCUUAAUAACAUGAAUGAAAGGAAGAAAAAAAUAAAAAUCAGACGUGUUAAAUAAAAAAAGCAAAACAAAAAGAAAUCUUACAUACAUGGAUUGCUACUUGAAUGCUGUUCAUUAUAUGUGUUAUAAAUAAAAUGUAUUCUUGAUGCUGUUUUCUCUUAAAAAUGGUAAACAUUUUAAGCUCUCCUGUACAAUUGUAAUGAUGGAUAAUGUUCAUCUGUGAGCUUGAGAAUAAAUAGUGAUGUCUCAAUUAAUUUUCCU